rnacentral:sRNA from 1 species
UAUUCUGCCCUACGGGGAAGGAUGAGAAGCUUCGACUAAGGUUCGACUCGAGCGCCAGCGAGAGAACGUUGCCGCAGGCAACGGCCCGAAGGGCGAGGAGCGAUAGCGACGAGUUAUCCUUCCCCCUCUAUUC